rnacentral:rRNA from 1 species
GAUGAACGCUGGCGGCGUGCCUAAUACAUGCAAGUCGAGCGAACAGACGAGGAGCUUGCUCCUCUGACGUUAGCGGCGGACGGGUGAGUAACACGUGGAUAACCUACCUAUAAUACUGGGAUAACUUCGGGAAACCGGAGCUAAUACCGGAUAAUAUAUUGAACCGCAUGGUUCAAUAGUGAAAGACGGUUUUGCUGUCACUUAUAGAUGGAUCCGCGCCGCAUUAGCUAGUUGGUAAGGUAACGGCUUACCAAGGCAACGAUGCGUAGCCGACCUGAGAGGGUGAUCGGCCACACUGGAACUGAGACACGGUCCAGACUCCUACGGGAGGCAGCAGUAGGGAAUAUUCCGCAAUGGGCGAAAGCCUGACGGAGCAACGCCGCGUGAGUGAUGAAGGUCUUCGGAUCGUAAAACUCUGUUAUUAGGGAAGAACAAAUGUGUAAGUAAAUAUGCACGUCUUGACGGUACCUAAUCAGAAAGCCACGGCUAACUACGUG